UACAGAGGGUGCGAGCGUUGUUCGGAAUUACUGGGCGUAAAGCGCGCGCAGGCGGCCCUUUAAGUCUACCCGUGAAAUGCCGGAGCUCAACUCCGUGCACGCCGGGGGGAUACUGGAGGGCUGGAGACGAGUAGAGGCAAGCGGAGUUCCGGGUGUAGCGGUGGAAUGCGUAGAGAUCCGGAAGAACACCGGAGGCGAAGGCGGCUUGCUGGGCUUGGUCUGACGCUGGAGGCGCGAAAAGCGUGGGGGAGCGAACAGG
rnacentral:rRNA from 1 species